CCCCUUUGUUUCCGUGUUUGUAGAGGCGGCAGCGUGUUUUCCGGCGCUGCAGUGGCCGUAGUGGAGAGCAUUUGCCUUGGAGGCUUCCUUGUGCCCUAUUGUUAUGAUGGGAUACAGCUCUGACUAAACCGGUGCCUGUGUGUGUUUUCGCUACAAAGACCUGAAUGGUAAGUGGUUUAACUUGCCUUUUACUGAGAGUUAGAAGCGUAUAUGUUGUUAAUGUUUCCUCUCUUGUGUUUGUCAUAGGAGACUCCCUCUCGUUGCUAUUGUCGUGUUGGCUAUUGCUAAUUGAGUGGUGCUGCUAGCGCUGUUCGUUUUUAGGGCUGGGAAGAUACAGCUGCUAACCGUGUGAGAAGCUAAGGUUGCUAAUUGCUGAUAGCGAAGACGCUGCCUUUAAUCUCGCGCCAGUGUUGCCGUGAAUAAUGUAGAGAGGGGACUGUUUAUCUGUCUGGUGUCGUGUUGCUUUGUCGCCCUGUCGAACGUAUGGUUUAUUCGUUGUUUCUUUUUCUUUUUGUUUCCUUUUGGCUAAGUACUUUAAGUUUUCUUGGCCUACUUAAGUGUAUUUGGUUUAUUGUUAUUUUGGUUUUAUUAAUUGUUUCUUUCUCUUUGUUAAUUGGAAUGGACGCAUUUCUUGAUGGCUGACCUGCUAGAGAUUAUUCAGUACAUUUAAUGUUUUAUGAUUCUCUUUUGUACUUGUUAGCUUCUGACCCUUAUUGUUGUCGGAUGUUUUAAGAAGUGUUUGUACUAUUGUUGGAGUCUUUUGUUUGUCCUUUUUCUUUUGUUUAUUGUAGGAGCUGAGGUUCGGUGACCGAUUGGUUUCCUUCGCUGUGGUGGUGGUUUUUCUCGAUUGUGUGCAGUGUUACACCUGGAGUGUUUGAGCGCGCGAUCAUUGUGCACCGUGGUGUGUGUGGAAGUGUGUUCUGGUAAAAAGACCACGCUACUCUGUCUGGCUCUGGUGAACCUCAGCUCUAAAUAUUUUGAUUUGAGUUUGUCUAACAAUAUAUACAUUUCAGUCCGGUCUUUCCAAUUAGUUUUCUUUCUUUAUAUUUUUUGUGUUUACCUGUUUGACCUGGGGUUUCUUGUCUACUGUUUUUAGUGUGUUUUAAAUAAUUGUCAAUAAAUUUCUAUUUUUCUAAAUAUCUUAUCCACGCCUCCUGCCUGCUGGGAAGUAGUCGAACUUGUGUGCUUGACCUCUAAAUUGAGUGGGCUAAAUCUUUUUUGUCCCUGGGGUGAGUCCCAGGGUGGCGUAAUCGGUAUAAUAACGCUUAGUAAAUAUUUCCAUGCUGUAGCGACGCGCCACAUUCUGGCGUAAUCGGCAGGAUACUUCUGUUGUAGUGUGGAGACGUGGAUUUGGUGUUCUUUUCUUUUUGUUCUCCAGACAACGGCAGUCCCUUUUCGUCUUGAAUCGGCAUCAGUUUAAAUUUUAUUGCAUAU